GACAGAGGUGCCGAGCGUUAGGCGGAAUCACUGGGCUUAAAGCGUGUGUAGGCGGAUCUGUAAGUACCUUGUGAAAUCCCACGGCUCAACCGUGGAACUGCUUGGUAUACUGCGGGUCUUGAGCCACCUAGGGGCAAGUGGAACAAACGGUGGGAGCGGUGAAAUGCGUAGAUAUCGUUUGGAACGCCAAUGGUGAAAACAACUUGCUGGGGGUGUGCUGACGCUGAGACACGAAAGCCAGGGGAGCAAACGGG
rnacentral:rRNA from 1 species